rnacentral:tRNA from 1 species
GACUCAAAUGGUAAAGAAUCUGCCUGUAAUGCAGAAGACCUGGGUUCAAUUCCUGGGUCG